rnacentral:rRNA from 1 species
GAUGAACGCUGGCGGCGUGCCUAAUACAUGCAAGUCGAACGGGGAGUAGCAAUACUCUUAGUGGCGAACGGGUGAGUAACGCGUUGGUACCUGCCCCGAAUCGGGGGAUAACGGACCGAAAGGUCCGCUAAUACCCCAUGUGCUCGGUAACGAGUAAAGGUGAAAACCACUUUGGGAGGGGCAUGCGUCCCAUCAGCUAGUUGGUAAGGUAACGGCUUACCAAGGCGAUGACGGGUAGGGGACCUGAGAGGGUGGCCCCCCACAAUGGAACUGAAACACGGUCCAUACACCUACGGGUGGCAGCAGUAGGGAAUAUUGGUAAUGGGCGCAAGCCUGAACCAGCAACGCCGCGUGUGCGAUGACGGCCUUCGGGUUGUAAAGCACUUUUGACUGGGACGAGGAAGGACGGUACCGGUCGAAUCAGCCUCGGCUAACUACGUG